rnacentral:lncRNA from 1 species
UACACAUACUGCAUUACAUACACACUACACAGACACACACACUGCAUUACAUACACACUACACAAACACACACUACACAAACACACACUGCAUUACAUACAUACACACUACACAAACACACACACACUGCAUUACAUACACACACAAAAACACACUGCAUUAUACACACACACUACAUAAACACUGCAUUAUAUACACACACUCUGCAUCCACUACACACACACACACACUACACAAACACACACAGUUCCCCUGUCUAAACACACUUCAUCCACUACAUGUGGCAUGUAUAUUUUGUGCAUUUACCUUUCGAAUUAGUUUAUUUAUUCAAAAUAGUAAAUGUACAGAAUAUCGGCAAGAUAUCGGCUAUCGGCCUGAAAGUUCGCAGAUUAUCGGUAUCGGUAUCGGCUCUAAAAAAUCAAUAUCGGUCGAUCCCUAAUUUAAUUAGGUCUCCGGCGGGGAAGGAGCAUGGGUGGGGCCUGACCCAGUGCAGAGGGACAAGUGUCUGAACGGGGGUGGGAGGGAGGCACUCCAGGAUUCUCUAGUGCUAGAAAAACUGUUUUGUUUUCCUGGCACUAGAGAAUCCCUUUAAAUGUUUCCUUCGUGUUCCCAUGCCAGUCAUUAACUGCAUAUGGCAUGAAGUGCUCAUUUAAAUUUUUUUCAUUUUUUUUUUUUUUUUAAACCAUGCUUUCAGUAAAGGUUAUCUUUCAAUUUUAGCGACCCUUUAAACAUUUUUUACUUUUAUGAAACUAUUAUUUCUAAUUAAAGGGCUGCUAACGCUGUGGUUUUUUUUUUUUGGUUUGAAAGGGGGCAGGGGGGUGUAGUGCAGUAUGGGUUACUAUGACCAAAACCAGUGUUUUCUUAAAACCCUGGUUGAAGUAACCCUUUAAAUUAUGUUAACAACCAGCCUGCUCAAAAUGUGUACCACUCCAGAAAUCAUACCAUUGAUGUUAUUAAUCAUAGGUUUUUUUUCACAAAAAAAGAAUAGUUUUAAUGCUAUAAGUCCUCUAUAUCUCAUUAUUGGAUUGUUCCCCUCCCCCCCUUUUUUAUAUUAAUAUUAUUAGACUUCAGCUGUCAAUUCUUAGUCUAAACCUACAUACCACCUUUUAAAUGUUAUUUUUUUAAAUUUCCUGUAAUGUAACCUAUUUAUUACAUUAUACGAUUUCCUGGAAUGUAACCUAUUUAUUACAUUGUACAAACCAGAUGUUCCGCAGCUCUGUGUGCACUGAACUAUAUUAUUUAUUAUAUAUGAGAAUUAUAAUUUAUACAUUUCCAUCAUGUUCUGUAUACUUAUUCAAUGAUGGGUAACAUCUCCUGUCUCAUAUAAUCACUUACCAGAAUCUAAAGAUUUGUAUUGAUGUCUAAUAACAAUAUCUCCAAAUUUGCAGGGUUUUUUUGUUACUGCAUUGUAAUAUGCACUUUUUUUUAAUUUAUUUUUUUAUGCAAAUUGACACAAUCCACACAGAACCUAAGAGGGUUUCUGUUCCUUAUUUUAAACCUGUCCCACCAAUUUCUCUAAUAAAUAACGCUGGGAAUGUUCAUGUCGAUGGCUUAUUUACUACCUAUGGUGGUAUUGAACUCCAAGAAAAUGAAACUGGGUGUAAUUAUCUCAGCUGCUAAUAUAAAUUUAUUGUAGAAUACCAAUAAACGUACCUCUGAUGUACCCAACAUCUCCCCAUUUUCUCCUCUUUAAAUAAUGAAACAGAAAAAGCUCAUGGAUUUUCUUUUUGAAACCACUCUGACUGUGACUCAUUAAACUGUUUUGCCCCCAAACUAGGCCUAAGAUGCAGAAUUUUCACUCCGCUUACAGUUACACUGAAGUCAGUGGAUACAUUUCAUCUCAUUGAAGUUGUUAUGGUGCAUGGAGUUAUGGUUCAGUGUUAAAUUAUUUUUGACCGAUUUGAUGCAAAAUGAGGGUCUGGCCCCUCGCUGCUGCUUGGAAUUCCAUUUUUACAUUAAUGCCCAGCUGUAACUCCGAUUUAGUCAUGCUUCCAGCAUAGGAUGAAGCACUGGGCAUCAGGGGAACCUCAUUUGGUGUUAAUCCAAUAGGCUCUGAGCAGUGGAAUGAUGCUAGUGUCCCUUUAAUGAAAUACAAUUUAAUUUAAUAAAACUGUUGGUCAAAUCCAAGUUUGUUUUACUUGAAGACACAAUCGGAGAUAUUUAUAAAUGUUUAACUAUAUCUUUUAUUUUCGUGUGUUUUGGUUUUUUUUAACCGAGAGCUUGAAGUUUACUGUACGUUGUUUACAUUGUGCAGUGUUUUCCUGCACACUUUUACACAGGAAGUGCUUGUGAAAGCAAGUGCAACAGGAAACUGGGUCCCCCAGACAGCGAUAUAAAUUGAAAUAAAAUACUUUCUUUUAAGGGAAUGAAAUUAUUACAUAAACGCAUGUCGGUGUUAAAACAUUGUAUCAAAGGUUUUAUCUAUAUUUUAGUUAAUGUUUUCGUCUAAUCUGAUAUGCCCAGAUUGCAAGCUAACGUUCCCCUCUAGUAAACAGGGGUUCCAUUUGGAAUGCCAACUGUGAUGAUCGUUUAUUACCAACCCUGCCUGCUUUUCGCUACUGAGGUACAGCCCUGCUUACUUUUUGUCCAGAUGCUCACUGACUUUACUGAGUGGCUUACAGUGGAGACUCAUUGACUUCAUGGGGGAUCCAGGCCAACAUUAGAACUAGAUUAGCCCAAUAAAUUUAAGGUGAUGUCUAGUGGCUCCUAAUUUGUAUUUAAGUAGGCAGAGGGAAAUAUGCAAUCUCUUUAGAAAUAUCAACCGGUGUAAGGAGAAAGACACAUUAUAAUCCACGUGCCACCAAUCACAAUCCACGGUAUUGUUUGGUCUUCUCUCCUAUUUCUGUGUGACUAUAACUAAACUGUGGACUGAAAUAAAUUAAGCCGUAUAGGCCAAAAUUUUACUUUUUUCCCGAAAUGAGCUAAAUUUCCUUAAGCGUCGCUUUCAAUUCACCCCUCAUUCCCUGUUUAGUAAAUAAGCGCAUAUACCAAACUGUUUGGGGCAUUAAUAAAAUACAUGUUACCAAUGGUAAUUCUUUGUAAGAACUACCUCAUGAUUAUAGUUACUGGCUUAUGUACAAAAUCUAAUCUGAAAAAAAUAAAAAGUUAUGGUUUGUUCAAAA